rnacentral:rRNA from 1 species
CAGCAGCCGCGGUAAAACGUAGGUGGCAAGCGUUGUCCGGAAUUAUUGGGCGUAAAGGGCUCGCAGGCGGUUUCUUAAGUCUGAUGUGAAAGCCCCCGGCUCAACCGGGGAGGGUCAUUGGAAACUGGGAAACUUGAGUGCAGAAGAGGAGAGUGGAAUUCCACGUGUAGCGGUGAAAUGCGUAGAGGUGUGGAGGAACACCAGUGGCGAAGGCGACUCUCUGGUCUGUAACUGACGCUGAGGAGCGAAAGCGUGGGGAGCAAACAGGAUUAGAGACCCGCGUAGUCCCUGUCUCUUAUAC